rnacentral:lncRNA from 1 species
UAUUAAUUUAAUUUAAAUAAAUACAUAUUAUUAUCGGGGUGUUACAACUCUCCCCCACUAAAAGAGUUUUCGUCCUCGAAAACAUACCUCAAGCGAACAACUCCGGAUAAGACUCCUUCAUCUGACUCUCGAGUUCCCAAGUCACAUUGCCACCUGCUGGUCCUCCCCAAGCUACCUUCACCAAGGCAAUCUCUUUACCCCGCAACUGCUUCAACUCUCGA